UACGGUGGGGGCAAGCGUUGUUCGGAAUUACUGGGCGUAAAGGGCUCGUAGGCGGCCAACUAAGUCGGAUGUGAAAUCCCCAGGCUCAACUUGGGAACUGCAUCCGAUACUGGAUGGCUUGAAUCCGGGAGAGGGAUGCAGAAUUCCAGGUGUAGCGGUGAAAUGCGUAGAUAUCUGGAGGAAUACCGGUGGCGAAGGCGGCAUCCUGGACCGGCAUUGACGCUGAUGAGCGAAAGCUAGGGGAGCAAACGGG
rnacentral:rRNA from 1 species